rnacentral:rRNA from 1 species
GAUGAACGCUGGCGGCGUGCCUAAUACAUGCAAGUCGAGCGAACAGACGAGGAGCUUGCUCCUCUGACGUUAGCGGCGGACGGGUGAGUAACACGUGGAUAACCUACCUAUAAGACUGGGAUAACUUCGGGAAACCGGCGCUAAUACCGGAUAAUAUAUUGAACCGCAUGGUUCAAUAGUGAAAGACGGUUUUGCUGUCACUUAUAGAUGGAUCCGCGCCGCAUUAGCUAGUUGGUAAGGUAACGGCUUACCAAGGCAACGAUACGUAGCCGACCUGAGAGGGUGAUCGGCCACACUGGAACUGAGACACGGUCCAGACUCCUACGGGAGGCAGCAGUAGGGAAUCUUCCGCAAUGGGCGAAAGCCUGACGGAGCAACGCCGCGUGAGUGAUGAAGGUCUUCGGAUCGUAAAACUCUGUUAUUAGGGAAGAACAAAUGUGUAAGUAACUAUGCACGUCUUGACGGUACCUAAUCAGAAAGCCACGGCUAACUACGUG